CAAACGACUCUCGGCAACGGAUAUCUCGGCUCACGCAUCGAUGAAGAACGUAGCAAAAUGCGAUACUUGGUGUGAAUUGCAGAAUCCCGUGAACCAUCGAGUUUUUGAACGCAAGUUGCGCCCGAAGCCUUUUGGCUUAGGGCACGUCUGCCUGGGCGUCACAC
rnacentral:rRNA from 1 species